UACGUAGGGUGCGAGAGUUGUCCGGAAUUACUGGGCGUAAAGAGCUCGUAGGUGGUUUGUCGCGUCGUCUGUGAAAUUCCGGGGCUUAACCUCGGGCGUGCAGGCGAUACGGGCAAUACUUGAGUCCUGUAGGGGAGACUGGAAUUCCUGGUGUAGCGGUGAAAUGCGCAGAUAUCAGGAGGAACACCAAUGGCGAAGGCAGGUCUCUGGGCAGUUACUGACGCUGAGGAGCGAAAGCAUGGGUAGCGAACAGGAUUAGAUA
rnacentral:rRNA from 1 species